UGGGCAUUGUGGUGCCUGCCUGUAAUCCCAGCUACUCAGGUUAAGGUGGAAGGAUCACUGGAGCCCAAGAGGUUGAGGCUGCAGUGAGCCAUGAUCACUUUAAUGAAGUAAAGAUGUGAUUGAGACUGCCAGACUUACUUCAUUGUCUUUAUCUUUAGUAUAUUCAUUGCUGUUUACACUUCUUUCUAAGAAAAAAUGUAAUAUGUUUUGUAUAUUCAACGGUGUAGCCUUUCUCAAAUAUGGGACAAUGGAGAGGAUAACUCUUAAGCUGGAGAGUGAGGGUAUCUUAGUGAUUAAAUGCAUGCAUGGGCUUGAAAAUCAGAGUCACCUGGUAUUUGAGUGCAGGUGAUGACAUUACCUGAGCACAUAAAAAGAUAUAAGAACAAUUAUAUCUAUAAGAUAUAAUAUAGGUGCAAUUCUGAAUUAUGUUUACACUAUGAGUAAUUUAAAGUAUGUUUCUGGCUCACUGGUUUCCUAAUUCUAAAAUUUUCAUACUUUUAUCAUGCUGCUGAGUUUCAUGAAAAUAUAGUAUUCUGAAUUGUCAGUACAAAAAGUGUCCUUAACUUUGACCUUCUUAAUGGAAUUCACGGCAGCAUUCAUUACCUCAAUUGUUCCACAUCAGACAAAAAUAAACUUCUAAGUCUCUACAUUGAUUCUAUAAAUUGAUGAAAAAAUUAUCAAAUUAUUAUUAAAAUUAGCUUAGGUGAUUAUUACUUUUAGCACCUGAUAGCUUUGAUAUAAAACUGGCAUUAUCUAACUCUCUAUAAAGUUCUUCUUUUGCUAAAGGACCUAACAUUCUAUCAACAACCAUUUCACAGGUGGGGUGCAGUGGCUCAUGCCAGUAAUCCCAGUACUUUCAGAGGCUAAGGCAGGUGGAUAUCUUGAGCUCAGGAGUUUGAGACCAGCCUGGGCAAUAUGACAAGACCCCACCUCUACUAAAAAUACAAAAAAAAAAAAAAAAAAACCCAGCCAGGUAUGGUGGUGUGCACCUGUGGUCCCAGCAACUCAGGAGGCUGCGGUGGGAAAAUCUCUUGAGCUCAGGGGGUGGAGGUUGCAGUGAGCCGAGAUUGCACCACUGCACUCCAGCCUGGGCCACCAAGUGAGACACUGUCUCAAAAAAAAAAAAAAAAGGGACCUUAAA
rnacentral:lncRNA from 1 species